ACUACUUUCGCUAAUUAAUGUUCUCUCUAAAGUUUCUCCACUCUCAGGUAAAGAAUACCCUUAAGGAUCCCGGAGAGCUAGAAACGGAGUGGCCGGAGCUGAAAAUUGAAGAUUCAGAACUGAUCAAGGAUUGGGAGCGUCCCAAACUUGGACCCCGGUAGAAAGGACCAUUGCAGAUAGUAUUGCAAACGCCGACGGCAGUUAAAGUACAAGGGCAGAGACGUUGGAUACACCUCAGUGACAAUUAACCAUUUGUGGACUCAUUUUUACUGUGUAUUACAAUUGAUUCCUUUGAGGACAACUUGUUUUGUCAAGCAGACCAACAACUGGAAGCAUUUCAGUCUGGAGCUUCUGUUCAUGGCCAGGAGGAGAUUCAACUGCCCGCUCCGGGGAGGACGAAGAAGAUGCUUUGGAUCAGUCGACUUGCUUUGUUUUACCCACCACUCCCAACUUCGACGCUCAGUGUCACCAGCACUGGCCAUUUAGUCCAGCCUGGUAUCGGCACCCCCUCACCAACAAGUGUGGAAUCAUCACCCACUCUCACAAUGACAGCCACGUGGCCAGAUUAAGAACCCAGUUCUGGGCACAUCCCACAAUGGUCCUCCACUGACCCAAAAAUAUCGGACCACGUUGUUAGUGCAGUUGGCCCUGAAAAGAUCGUGCUCCUAUCGGCGUGGAGCGUCGCGCCACGGUGAACAGACAGACGUGUCCUAUCCCCAAGUCUUUUUCAUUCCAGGUGCAAAAACGAGAUCACGAACCCAUCAAAAACCGCGGGCAACGCAGGAUGAUGCUUGGGGUUGGAUGAGAUAUCUGUGUUUCCUCGGGGAACGCAUUGCGGAAGACGAAGGCCAUAAACUGUUUCCGUCGGACCGCACGAGCUGUCGGCGCUUGAGCGGUGCAGACACUGGACUGAACCGGAAGCGGAUGGGAAAUAAAACCAGUGUCGGAUUUACAAAGAGGGGCGGAGGACUGCAGAAACAUCUUUCACCGAAAACAGUGACACGGGUAGAUAGAGUGAUGAAUACCUUCAUCUUUCAGCGAAUUUA